AGCAGCCGCGGUAAUUCCAGCUCCAAUAGCGUAUAUUAAAGUUGUUGCAGUUAAAAAGCUCGUUGUUGAAUUUCGGGAUCAAUACGUCGGUCAUGCUUUUUGGUACGAACUGGCGUCAUUGGUUUCUCCUUUCUGACGAACCAUGAUGUCAUUAAUUUGGUGUUAUGGGGAGUUGGGACUGUUACUUUGAAAAAAUUAGAGUGUUUAAAGCAGGCAUAAGCUUGAAUACAUUAGCAUGGAAUAAUGAAAUAGGACGUUUGAUCCUAUUUUGUUGGUUUCUAGGAUCAACGUAAUGAUUAAUAGGGAUAGUUGGGGGCAUUAGUAUUCAAUUGUCAGAGGUGAAAUUCUUGGAUUUAUUGAAGACUAACUACUGCGAAAGCAUUUGCCAAGGAUGUUUUCAUUAAUCAAGAACGAAAGUUAGGGGAUCGAAGACGAUCAGAUACCGUCGUAGUCUUAACCAUAAACUAUGCCGACUAGGGAUCGGAUGAUGUUAAUUUUUUAAUGACUCA
rnacentral:rRNA from 1 species